rnacentral:rRNA from 1 species
CCUACGGGGGGCAGCAGUAGGGAAUCUUCCACAAUGGGCGAAAGCCUGAUGGAGCAACGCCGCGUGGGUGAAGAAGGUCUUCGGAUCGUAAAACCCUGUUGUUAGAGAAGAAAGUGCGUGAGAGUAACUGUUCACGUUUCGACGGUAUCUAACCAGAAAGCCAUGGCUAACUACGUGCCAGCAGCCGCGGUAAUACGUAGGUGGCAAGCGUUAUCCGGAUUUAUUGGGCGUAAAGGGAACGCAGGCGGUCUUUUAAGUCUGAUGUGAAAGCCUUCGGCUUAACCGGAGUAGUGCAUUGGAAACUGGGAGACUGGAGUGCAGAAGAGGAGAGUGGAACUCCAUGUGUAGCGGUGAAAUGCGUAGAUAUAUGGAAGAACACCAGUGGCGAAAGCGGCUCUCUGGUCUGUAACUGACGCUGAGGUUCGAAAGCGUGGGUAGCAAACAGGAUUAGAUACCCGAGUAGUC